rnacentral:lncRNA from 1 species
GUUUUCACAUGAUCCAGGUAAUGAACGGCUGACUGGUUUCUCCUUGUCUCUGCUGUACAUUUCCCACGGCGCUCUCUUCCCUUCCCUCAUCAAGUUGUCUCGUGUCCAGCCAAGCUUUUCAUCCAUCAUAUGCCCCUGCUUCAGCUCAGUAACUCUCUUGGUUGCUUUUCUCAUCUGAGUCAAGUUCUCUUGCUUUAUUUUACGAUUUUAUCUUUACCAAAAUGGUUGGCAGUUGUCUGUUAAUUCUCAGAUUCUGGAGAGUGCUGUCGCCAAAGAGAAGGACAAGUUCAAGCAAUCUGUGGAUGAAGAAAAGAAAAAGAUCCAAGACUUGGAAAAUCACCUGAGAAGUAUGACUGAGGUAAUUGAAAUGAAGUCAAAAGAGCAGGAGGUUGUAAAUGUCAAACUACGAGAAGCUACGGACAACCUAGAGGAAACUGGGAAGCGAGAGAUCAUGUUAAAGCAGCAGUUACUCAUGCAAGACGAACAGCUAAAGAUCACUCAGGAUGAGAACGAGUUACUGAAGCAGAAAAUUCAGAAAGAAAUAGUGGAAUAUAAGGAACAAAUUAAGCAACAUUCCCAGACAAUUGUUGCACUAGAAGACAGAUUGCUGAAGGCCAAGCAGGAGCAGAAGACUUUAGAAGAGGAAAAUGCAGCGCUCUUGGAAAAAAUAGAAGGAUUUCAGGGUGAUCCCUGCAGAUCCUCAUCAGGUGCUUCACUAGCGGUUUCUCAUACAGAGGAGUCUCCCGGUUGUCUUAUAGAAUUAGCAGCUGCACAGAACACAAUCCUGUCCAAAGAGGCUGUCAUUGUUGGAUUAACA